AUGGAACCUGAUAACAUCAACAAGUUUCACUCCCAGAAAAAAGGUGCCCAACCCUUAGUGGGAACAGCCGAGAACUGGUCUGAAACCUGGCAUAUCAGCACUGGCAACAGGAGUCAUAAGGCUUGGAGAAUUCAUAGGAACAAUAGUGGCAGUCUUGCGAAACUUCGGGCCCCUGUGGGCGGGCACCAGGGCUUCACCUCCAAGGUGGAUCCUCAGGGCAGUGGCCGGAUUACGGCCCAGGUGAUCGAGCACCUGGAGCGUCUAGCGCUUGUGGACUUCGGCAGCCGCGAGGCAGUGGCGCGACUGGAGAAAGCUAUCGCCUUCGCCGACCGGCUACGCGCCGUGGACACUGACGGGGUGGAGCCCAUGGAGUCGGUCCUGGAGGACAGAUGUCUAUACCUGAGAUCCGACAAUGUGGUAGAAGGCAAUUGUGCUGAUGAAUUACUACAAAACUCCCAUCGAGUCGUGGAGGAGUAUUUUGUGGCCCCCCCCAGGUAAUAUCUCUUUGCCAAAGCUGGAUGAACAAGAGCCAUUCCGACACAGCUGAGUAGCUCAUUCUGGAAAGGGGGUACUCUGUGACCAUGUGGAAGCACAAUGACAGUAUUUUCUUACUGUGAACACUAAUGUUCCUGCUUUUUUCAGUCACCUGAAAAAAUGGAUGCUCAAGCAUUUCUUAACAGAUUCUUCUGAAGACACAAUUGGGAAAGAUCUGGCCCCAAAAAUGAGUUCCUGAUGCUAACUGAGGUGAAAGGAAAGCGAAAGUCAGCUUCCAGGGAAUUCACUUAACAAGACUAUUCAGUAUGGAAGACAUUAUUUAUCUGCCUUUAACUCCCCCCAAAGGACUGUUUCAACUGCAUGAAAGUGUCUUCUAUCUACGUAACUGGUAGAUGGAGCAUCUUGAUCACUAUAUGACAACCCUGGCUGUCAUGUUUAGUUGCCAUCUGCAGUGAUUUGAGCAGCCCUAUUUUUACCAAACAUACCUGAAUUUGUUCCUGGGCUCCCACUCUCUUCCUAGAAAAGGGCUACCUUCCUACUAAGGUCUGAAGAGUGUUCAAAAUAGACUAGAGCUUGGGAACGCCUAAUCUAGAACUAUCUGCCAUCCCACAAAGUGAUUAUAUGCCAAAGGGAUACUAGUCAUACGUAGUGUUUCUCUUUCUGAAAAGAGAACUUAUCCUAAAAUUAGCCCUGGGUCUGCAAAAAAGGAGCCCUCUCCACCCCCAAAAUGAUUAUUAAAUUGAGAUAAGUCCAAGAUAAAACUCAGGAUACCAAGGAUAAAUGAAACUUAUUUAGGGAUAAAAGUGAUAGAAUCAGAGUUUUUCCUCUAACCAAACUGCCAAAGUUGGUUUUGGCUAAGAAUUUCCCAACAAUAUUUACGUUGCUUGUCAUUUUUUUAGUUUUCUGAGACAGGGCCUCACUCUGUCAC